rnacentral:lncRNA from 1 species
AUGCCAGGCGGCCCGGUCACCUGGAGAGGGACAGGAAAGCUAGGGCCCUGGGGAGCUGCCCACGGAGGCUGUGGGCAGCUGGAGGGAGCCGGCAGGCCUCUGGGGGUGUGGCUCGCACGGACUUGCAGCCUCCUCCAACCCACUCUCUCCCAGACUCCAGAGAACAGGCAGGGGCAUUCAUUACUCCCCUCCUCUCCACCCACAGGAAUCGCCAAGCGGAGCCUGCGGGCUGAGGGCUCCAGGCUGAAGCGGGGGAGAAGCCCUGAGGGCCCCCGUGGCAGUCGCCACCAAGAAAACGGACACAGACGGGGAGAAGAGAAGGUGAGGGGACGACCAUCCCCAGCUAAGGGGAGACCAAAGGACAAGGCUGACCCCAGCAGAGCAGGACGUCAGGGCAGAGGAGGUUCUGCCCACACCGCCCUGCAGCUCAAGAACAGGAGGACCCUGCCCGGGUCUCCAGAGAGGACCGCCGGCGGCGGACUCCUCCAGGACAGGCGAGAGGCCGGGCCCGCCUCCCGAAAGCGCCGCCACCACCUGUCGCCAGAAGCCCGCGCGCCCCUGUCGGGGCCCCUGUCCCGGCUCUUCAACCACGUGGGCGCGCUGGACGUGGCCCUGGGCGAGCUGCGGGCUCCCGGAGGCGCCUUCCUGCCGCUGCCCGCCCGCGGCCCGCAGCCCGCGGCCUCGCAGCGCGCCUGGCUCGCCUGGCAGCUGACGCAGGCGGGGGCGACCCUGCACGGGGCGGGGGCUGCGCUGGACGCCCUGCUCGCUGCCGCGCAGCCCCGGCCCGCCUGCCCGCAGCCUUCCCUGCCGGCGGCUCCGGGGCCGUAGGGAUCGCGCCCCGAUCCCGAGCCCGCGUCCUCCGCCCUUCCCGGGGACGCUCCCGUCUGCCCCGGAGCCCGUCCCGACUCUGCCCUCCCGACUCCCCGAGCAAGGGUCCUUGGCGGCAGUUCGCACACCCAGGCGACGAGCUCCCUCCCACAGCGCCACACCAUCCAACUGUCCGGGAAACAGUGUUAGGCACCGACCAGACCUCCCUUCCUACCGGAUCCCCGCUCAGGGAAAGGGCUUCUCGUUUCCAAAGGACAGCCCGUGAAGAUGAGCGCUCAGAGCAAAUCCCUUCUUUUCUUCCAGGGGCUCGGAUGACCAGCACUCUCACCCAUUUGGACCUUUGCACCAUUGCGUGUUUUCCUGCUAUAGGAAAAAUAAAGCCUGCACAGAGAAACA